rnacentral:rRNA from 1 species
GAUGAACGCUAGCUACAGGCUUAACACAUGCAAGUCGAGGGGUCUCAACGAGGUUCGCCUUUGAGAGACGACCGGCGCACGGGUGAGUAACGCGUAUCCAACCUGCCCUUCAUAUUGGGAUAGCCUUCCGAAAGGAAGAUUAAUACCGAAUAACAUGAGAUAGUUGCCUGAUUUUCUCAUGAAAGCUCCGGCGAUGAAGGAUGGGGAUGCGUUCCAUUAGGUAGUAGGCGGGGUAACGGCCCGACCUAGCCGACGAUGGAUAGGGGUUCUGAGAGGAAGGUCCCCCACACUGGAACUGAGACACGGUCCAG